rnacentral:rRNA from 1 species
CAAUAGCGUAUAUUAAAGUUGUUGCAGUUAAAAAGCUCGUAGUUGGAUUUCUGGAUGGAGCGACCGGUCGGGCAUUAAUUUGCCUGCACUGGAGUCGGUUCCGUCCAUCCUCUUGGAAAGUGCGUCGGGCAUUAAGUUGUUUGGCGUAUGAUCCAAGUCGUUUACUGUGAAAAAAUUAGAGUGUUUAAAGCAGGCCUUCGCCUUGAAUACAUUAGCAUGGAAUAAUAAGAUAGGACUUUGGUCUAUUUUGUUGGUUUGCAGACCGAAGUAAUGAUUAAUAGGGAUAGUUGGGGGUAUUUAUAUUCCGAUGUCAGAGGUGAAAUUCUUAGAUUUUCGGAAGAUAAACUUAUGCGAAAGCAUUUACCAAGGAUGUUUUCAUUAA